ACACAUGCAGUCGAACGGUGAAGCAGAGCUUGCUCUGUGGAUCAGUGGCGAACGGGUGAGUAACACGUGAGCAACCUGCCCUGGACUCUGGGAUAAGCGCUGGAAACGGCGUCUAAUACUGGAUACGAGACGUGGCCGCAUGGUCAACGUUUGGAAAGAUUUUUUGGUUCAGGAUGGGCUCGCGGCCUAUCAGCUUGUUGGUGAGGUAAUGGCUCACCAAGGCGUCGACGGGUAGCCGGCCUGAGAGGGUGACCGGCCACACUGGGACUGAGACACGGCCCAGACUCCUACGGGAGGCAGCAGUGGGGAAUAUUGCACAAUGGGCGAAAGCCUGAUGCAGCAACGCCGCGUGAGGGAUGACGGCCUUCGGGUUGUAAACCUCUUUUAGCAAGGAAGAAGCGAAAGUGACGGUACUUGCAGAAAAAGCGCCGGCUAACUACGUGCCAGCAGCCGCGGUAAUACGUAGGGCGCAAGCGUUAUCCGGAAUUAUUGGGCGUAAAGAGCUCGUAGGCGGUUUGUCGCGUCUGCUGUGAAAACUGGAGGCUCAACCUCCAGCCUGCAGUGGGUACGGGCAGACUAGAGUGCGGUAGGGGAGAUUGGAAUUCCUGGUGUAGCGGUGGAAUGCGCAGAUAUCAGGAGGAACACCGAUGGCGAAGGCAGAUCUCUGGGCCGUAACUGACGCUGAGGAGCGAAAGGGUGGGGAGCAAACAGGCUUAGAUACCCUGGUAGUCCACCCCGUAAACGUUGGGAACUAGUUGUGGGGACCAUUCCACGGUUUCCGUGACGCAGCUAACGCAUUA
rnacentral:rRNA from 1 species